rnacentral:rRNA from 1 species
CGAGAAAGCCCGCAAGGGUGAGUACAGCGGCGCACGGGUGCGUAACACGUGGGUAAUCUGCCCUGGAGCCCGGAAUAACCUCCCGAAAGGGAAGCUAAUGCCGGAUGAGCCCACGGGGUCCUUGGACCCUGAGGGAAAAGGUGGCCUCUGCAUGCAAGCUAUCACUUCAGGAUGAGCCCGCGGCCCAUCAGCUCGUUGGCGGGGUAACGGCCCACCAAGGCUACGACGGGUAGCUGGUCUGAGAGGACGAUCAGCCACACUGGAACUGAGACACGGUCCAGACUCCUACGGGAGGCAGCAGUGGGGAAUCUUGCGCAAUGGGCGAAAGCCUGACACAGCAACGCCGCGUGUGUGAUGAAGGUCUUCGGAUCGUAAAGCACUGUCGCGAGGGACG